UACGAAGGGGGCUAGCGUUGUUCGGAAUUACUGGGCGUAAAGCGCGCGCAGGCGGUCUUCCAAGUCAGUGGUGAAAGCCCGGAGCUCAACUCCGGAACUGCCAUUGAAACUGUAAGACUUGAGGAUGAGAGAGGUGAGUGGAAUUCCCAGUGUAGAGGUGAAAUGCGUAGAUAUCAAGAGGAACACCCAUGGCGAAGGCAGCUCGCUGGCCUAUAACUGACGCUGAGGCGCGAAAGCUGGGGGAGCAAACAGG
rnacentral:rRNA from 1 species